GACAGAGGUGCCAAGCGUUAUGCGGAAUCACUGGGCUUAAAGCGUGUGUAGGCGGGCGAUCAAGUACUUUGUGAAAUCCCACGGCUCAACCGUGGAACUGCUGGGUAUACUGGUUGUCUUGAGCCAGCUAGGGGCGAGCGGAACAGACGGUGGAGCGGUGAAAUGCGUAGAUAUCCGGAGGAACACCGAUGGCGAAGGCAAUCCCCUGGGCCUGCACUGACGCUCAUGCACGAAAGCGUGGGGAGCAAACAGG
rnacentral:rRNA from 1 species